GACGAACGCUGGCGGCGUGCUUAACACAUGCAAGUCGAACGGAAAGGCCCUGCUUUUGUGGGGUGCUCGAGUGGCGAACGGGUGAGUAACACGUGAGUAACCUGCCCUUGACUUUGGGAUAACUUCAGGAAACUGGGGCUAAUACCGGAUAGGAGCUCCUGCUGCAUGGUGGGGGUUGGAAAGUUUCGGCGGUUGGGGAUGGACUCGCGGCUUAUCAGCUUGUUGGUGGGGUAGUGGCUUACCAAGGCUUUGACGGGUAGCCGGCCUGAGAGGGUGACCGGCCACAUUGGUACUGCGAUACGGCCCAGAAUCCUACGGGAGGCAGCAGUGGGGAAUAUUGCAGAAUGGGCGGAAGCCUGAUGCAGAAACGCCGCGUGCGGGAUGACGGCCUUCGGGUUGUAAACCGCUUUCGCCUGUGACGAAGCGUGAGAGACGGUAAUGGGUAAAGAAGCACCGGCUAACUACGUG
rnacentral:rRNA from 1 species